rnacentral:rRNA from 1 species
UACAGGGGGGGUAAGCGUUGUUCGGAAUUACUGGGCGUAAAGGGGCUGUAGGCGGUCAACUAAGUCCGACGUGAAAUCCCAAAGCUUAACUUUGGAACUGCGUCGGAUACUGGAUGGCUUGAAUUCGGGAGAGGGAUGCAGAAUUCCAGGUGUAGCGGUGAAAUGCGUAGAUAUCUGGAGGAAUACCGGUGGCGAAGGCGGCAUCCUGGACCGACAUUGACGCUGAAAACCGAAAGCUAGGGGAGCAAACGGG